rnacentral:antisense_RNA from 1 species
AAUUAUGGUGGCUCAGGCGGGGCAGCCGAAAGGCUGGCCGGUGUCGUUUGGGCCGGUAUUCUCACCCCCGUCUGGGCUACCACCCCU